GUCGAACGCUGGCGGCAUGCCUAAUACAUGCAAGUAGGACGCAGUUGCGAACGGGUGAGUAACGCGUAGGUAACUACCUAUUAGAGGGGGAUAACUAUUGGAAACGCUAGCUAAUACCGCAUACUAGUAGCUGGACCUGCGUUGGAUUAGCUAGUAGGUCGGGUAAUGGCCUACCUAGGCAACGAUACAUCGCCGACCUGGGAGGGUGGUCGGGACAACUGGGAAUGAGAAACGGGCCAGAAUCCUACGGGGGGCAGCAGUAGGGAAUCUUCGGCAAUGGGGGGAAACCUGACCGAGCAACGCCGCGGGAGUGAAGAAGGUUUUCGGAUCGUAAAGGUCUGUUGUUAAGGAAGCGGUACUUAACCAGAAAGGGACGGCUAACUACGUGCCAGCAGCCGCGGUAAUAC
rnacentral:rRNA from 1 species